rnacentral:rRNA from 1 species
GCCCGGUCCCAUUCCGAACCCGGAAGCUAAGUCCACCAGCGCCGAUGGUACUGCACUCGGGAGGGUGUGGGAGAGUAGGUCGCCGCCGGCA